rnacentral:rRNA from 1 species
GACGAACGCUGGCGGCGUGCUUAACACAUGCAAGUCGAACGGGAGUAUUGAGGAAGCUUGCUUUAGAGAUACUUUAGUGGCGGACGGGUGAGUAACGCGUGAGGAGCUGUCCAAUGCAGGGGGACAACAGUUGGAAACGACUGCUAAUACCCCAUAAGCCGAGAGGUAAAAGGAUUUAUCCGGCAAUGGAGGUACUCGCGUCCUAUCAGCUAGUAGGUGAGGUAACGGCUCACCUAGGCGAAGACGGGUAGCCGGCCUGAGAGGGCGAACGGCCACACUGGAACUGAGAUACGGUCCAGACUCCUACGGGAGGCAGCAGUGGGGAAUAUUGGGCAAUGGGGGGAACCCUGACCCAGCGACGCCGCGUGGGUGAAGAAAUCCUUCGGGAUGUAAAGCCCUGUUGUAUGGGAAGAGCGGAAGACGGUACCAUACGAGGAAGCCCCGGCAAACUACGUG